rnacentral:lncRNA from 1 species
AAUUCAGAAGCACCCUACUUCAAUCACCCCACACUUAAACAGGACAUUGUCCUUAAUGGACCAAAUAAUCAAGUGAGAUAGGGCUAGAAAAUAUGGUACUAUGCUUGGAGAUCAUGAGAAUGAGCAUUGUAGAGUCUGGUUGAGGAUCAAAAGUCCUGUCAGUCGGCACAUGAGAUUGAGACAUCAUCAGGAUAGGAUUAGAGUUCUACAUCCAUGGAGAAACAAAAGAAACAAGAGAGGAUAGGCUAAUUUCAAUCGGUUAUAUCAAACCACAAGAAAUAAAUGAAAAUAAAACAAACUCAAAAUAUUUCAACCACAUGACAUAAGCAAAAAUAGAUAAAAGAGAAAGACACAAUGCUCGGGUUGCCUCCCGAGAAGCACUCUUUCUUUUACGUCUUUGAACUAGAUGAUACCUAGAUUAGGCCGCCCAACUUAGAACCUCCUUGAACUCCAUUAGUUUCUUCAAGGAUUGGAGUUGAAUCUCAAAUAGCACCUGUCGUGAACGUUUCCGUCCGCCCGCCGAUGGCUUGAGAUGCUUUGGUUCGGUGUCGCCUCCAAUCGNNNNNNNNNNNNNNNUGGAACCUAAACCGGGCAUGGUCUGCGUUCAGAGAUCUGGGUAAGGGGGACGGUUACGUGUGGGGAAGGAUUAGCACCCCCCACAACACCCGGUACACCGAUACUACAAAAAUCGAUAAGUUUGAUGUGUUUUUAUUAAGUGCGUUUACUUUUUUAUUAUGUAAUUCACUCGUCUUCACUCUUGCGAAGACUAAAGCCGCCAAUACGGGCAUAUUUUUGUAAAACAGUUACAAAGUAAAACAGUUCAAAAGGGGAAGUCGAUAAAUUAUUUUUAAUUUAGAAGGAUGAUAUGUUGCUUCAAGGUUGGACGUAAUAUGAUAAACUGUUUUAAAGUAGGAAAUAAAAUGAUAAAUUGAUUUAAAGUUGGGAAAAUAGUAAUUUGUUUUGAAGUCGAAAAGAAAAUAGUGAAUUAUUUUGAAAUUGGAAAGAAGAUAAUAAAUUAUUUUUUGAGUUGGAAAGAAAAUAAUAAGUUAUUUAAAAAUGGAAAUAAAACUGAUAAAUUUUUUUAAAGUUGGAAAGAAAAUAACAAGUUGGACUCGAGUCUCUUGACGGCCUACGUAUCCGGAGUUCGGGAUCAAAGUCCACGUAGUUCGAUUUGAAAAAGUUGAUUUGAGGUGCAACUAAAUAGUUGCGGUUUGUUUGGUAAUUUUUGAAAGGUUUUAUGAGUUUUACAUUUUGAGAAUUUCACGUGACGUUAAUAGCGUAAAGCCCGACACUACUAGUCUCAUUUUAUGUUUAGGGUUACUAUCCUCAUUUUAUGUUCAUUUAAGAAAUUUUUUUUGUGUUUUAUAAUUUUAUGAUUUAUUUGAAGAGGAUUUGUUUGAAAAUAGUAGACUCAGGUACUUUCCCUCUUAAGAAAGUUUACGCCACUAUUCGAGGUUUUUUUUGGAUUUUCGCUCUUGCAAAAAAUACGUUACUGGACCAAUUACUUUUAUGAUAGUGAUUUUUAUAAGUGGACUCGAGCAUUUCUCGGCUGGCUACGUACACACAANNNNNNNNNNNNNNNNNNNNNNNNNNNNNNNNNNNNNNNNNNNNNNNNNNNNNNNNNNNNNNNNNNNNNNNNNNNNNNNNNNNNNNNNNNNNNNUACCAUGCUAAUUGUUAUAAUGUUUGAAAAAGCGUUUUUUAUCAUUUCGAUGAUAUGAAGUUUUUAGUAAAGAGUGUCCUGCGUUUCGGUGUCCGAAGCUGGCGGUAUUAAUUUGAGAAUAUAUUAUUGAGGGAGAAAGGGUUCCGUUUACCAAUCUCUUGAGCCGUAAUGGGAUUAUAGCAUAUAGCGUUAGGAGAAUUAGUGAACGUUAGGGAUUCGAAUAAUAAUUGUUGAGGACUCGAUUAGAAUUUUUUAGGACCCGAAACUCUUGUUCCGAAUGCCAAAUACUUAUAAUAUUCAUCAUAACACUUUCUUAAUGGGUUAUUACAUAUAUGGUACAAUUGUUAUAUAUAUUUAUUAAUUAAUUUGGCUGGCGAGUUAGAGAUAGGUCAUCGGGUGGGAGGAAACGAAUCUAAAAUUCAAGUAGAUUCGUCAAACGUAUUUUUAAAUCAAAAUUGUGAUCUUAAUAGUAAGAUUUUGANNNNNNNNNNNNNNNNNNNNUUAAUUAGACAAAUUAAUCUAAAUUUAAUAAAAUCAAAUUAAUUUCCCUAAACUUCCUCACACGUUUCCUACAUUUUGUCUGCUAAGUAUUUUAAUUUGAUUAAUCAAAUUAAGGAUUGACUUUCUAAUUAAGUUAAAUCUAAUCAACUUUCUAAUUCACAAAAUACACAUUUCCUUCUUUGAUUUGAUAAUAAUUAUUCUAAUGAUAGAUUUUGGUUUUAAGGGCAUUAUCAAAUGACGAAAAACUCAGGAAGUCAUUUUAAUGAAUGAAGUAAAGCAGGGGUAAUAUCAUAAACGACCAAAAAUGCGGUGGCAAUUUUGUAAUUUCUGGGUACCAAAUUUGGAUCAUAUAAAAGCCAUUUUCAGACAUAUUUUACUCAUUUUCUCACUUUCUGUCUCUCUCUCUAAACUUUCUCCUCCAAUUCUCUCUUGCUUCUCUCUAACAUCUCUCCUCCCCUCCUUUUUCACCUUCUUCUCCUCUGUGCCGCCACUGUUACGUCGCUGGCGGCGGCGGCGCCGCCGCCUCCGCACCUCUCUCCCUUUUUUCUCUUGUUUUUUCUUCUUUUCUUCUCUUCUUCUCUUCUUUUCUUCUCUUCUUCUUUCUCCCUUCUUCACCCCCUUUCUGCCCCGAUUUCGACGCCACAGCAACGGCGGCGGCGCCUUUCCCUCAACCGCGACAAAAAGAUAAACAGAGACGUAGAUCUACUUCCCUUACUUUUAUUUUUUCGAUUUUAGCCGGAUUUGAGCUUGCAUGUUGUCGGAGGAUGCCUUUAGCGAGUCUUCCAAUGACAUGCAAACUUCGAUCUACAAUUUUAAGGUUUGAAUUUUAUUUUUAUUACCCUUUUCUGAGUUGCUGUUUUGUUUUUGUUUUUUUAUUCAUAUACGGGGCUGAAAAUCUGUAGUGAGUAAAGGGGAGACAGUGGCCUGACCCACCAGAGGAAAUCGCUAAAAAGUGUGAAUAAGAGAGCAGACAAUCUUUAGGAAGGUAAAACACCUAAAACUCUAGUUGUUCUGAUUUUGUUGGUAGAUAGUAGAUUUUGUCUUUGGUUGAUUAGGUUGCAUAGAAUAUGAAAACUUAACUAUCUUGCUUAUUAAGACUAAACUGACAAUCUAAGUGUUGUGAAAAUGAUUUUUCGCUUGAAAAAUUGAUUAUUUUGUCAUGUUUGUUAAAAUUUCAGCAAUCCCACUUAACAAAAAGCACUUAUUUUAGCUCAAUUUUUAUGAGUAACCUUGUAGUUCUUGAGUUCUCGGUGUAAACUGUACAAAAAUGAUAAUAGGAGGUUGAUUAAUCGAUUGUUAAUCUGUUUUUCCAGCAAGCUUUCAUUUGGUGAAAACAAUCUUUGUUUUUUUUGUUUUGAUAUUAUUACUGUUUAAGUGAGUUCUUUGAAUCGUUUAGCUUUGAUGAUCAUUAGAUUAGAAAAGGAGUUUAGGACAUCAUAAUAAUGAAAACAAAGAUAUGAGUAUUAUAUAAAAAUUUGAAAAUCGGGAAGAUGUUUCGUUUAGAAGGACCAACCUUCGAAAGCUCACUUUGUUUUUCUUUUGCAGUGUGGAUGAGUCCUUGGCCGCAUGCUCCAGGGACUAAGGAACUCGGAAGCUUCGUGUCCUCGAAGUUUCGGCCAGAAGCACUUUGUAACUUUUUUGUUUAUUUUUAUUUCUUUUCUUUUGUAGUGGAAUUGGGUUGUAAUGAAUUUGGAGUGUAAUGGGUUUAGGGUGUAGUGGGAUUAGGGGAUUUUGGGGGAGUUCUCGUUGUAAUCGGUAGUCCUUCUUCGUUCUCUCCCUCCCCUUCGAAAGAAAUUUGAUGGUCCUUUUCAGUGAACAAAAGGGCUACCACCUCCCUUAUCUUCUAAUCUAAAUUGAACACCAAUCACUGAGGUGGCAGCCUCUCAGAGAAUAAC